AUUGAACGCUGGCGGCAUGCUUUACACAUGCAAGUCGAACGGCAGCAUGGGUGCUUGCGCCUGAUGGCGAGUGGCGAACGGGUGAGUAAUGUAUCGGAACAUAUCCGCAAGUGGGGGAUAACGUAGCGAAAGUUACGCUAAUACCGCAUAUUCCCUGAGGGGGAAAGGAGGGGAUCCGCAAGGACCUUUCGCUUACGGAGUGGCCGAUAUCAGAUUAGCUAGUUGGUGGGGUAAAGGCCUACCAAGGCGACGAUCUGUAGCGGGUCUGAGAGGAUGAUCCGCCACACUGGGACUGAGACACGGCCCAGACUCCUACGGGAGGCAGCAGUGGGGAAUUUUGGACAAUGGGGGCAACCCUGAUCCAGCCAUGCCGCGUGAGUGAAGAAGGCCUUCGGGUUGUAAAGCUCUUUCAGCUGGAAAAAAAUCGCAUCACCUAAUACGUGGUGUGGAUGAUGGUACCAGCAGAAGAAGCACCGGCUAACUACGUGCCAGCCGCCGCGGUAACAC
rnacentral:rRNA from 1 species